UUAAGUUCAGCGGGUAGUCUUACCUGAUUUGAGGUCAAAAAUGUCAUAUGUUGUCCAGUGAAGGACGGUUAGAAGCAGGUUCAUAAUAGCCUUCCCAUCCACGGCGUAGAUAAUUAUCACACCAAUAGAUAGGGGACCAAACCCACUAAUACAUUUCAGAGGAGCAGACCACAGAGUGGACCUGCAAACCCCCACAUCCA
rnacentral:misc_RNA from 1 species